CAGAGGUCUUUAUGCAUUCGUUGCUUCAUGACAACGAACUCACUGUACUCACAGGAAUAAUGCACUUUUUUUUAAUGAAAAAUAGCUCUGUCUUAAAACCAGCAAAGCAGCCCAAAGAGUGGCCUUGUGUUUCACUUUGCAGCUCUCUUGAGUGAGGUUAACACAAGGCCAGCUGGGUUCUCACACCUGCCAGGGCUUUGAAGCUCUCGCGAGAUCACGCCUCACGUAGCCUCUGGAAAACUCCGUGGAACACCUGCCUGCGAGAAAGUGAGAGUGAAAAAUGCAAAUCUCUUACUAUCAUCAAGAAAGUAGUUUUGAUCGUUUGUUCUCUGGAUCCCCUGAGAGGUUCUGGGACCUCGCUUUGAGAAUCCCUGUCUAGGACUCCUUUUGGGAAGAUGCCCCCUGCCCCGCCGACCCCUGAGCCUCACCUGGCCGCGAUGGCGGUGGGGCUGCCCCAGGCCUGGGCGUCGAGGUGGUGGUCCGGGCGCUGCCCACUCCGCGGCGGGCCUUCCCAGCUGCUGUCGGCGCUGAAGGCAACGGGGUGUCCCCUUGGUAUCUGCAUCCAUCCCCCCAUCUCUCCAGCACGUUCUUCUGGGGCCAGGAGCGUCGUCGUGGCGACCAGCGGCCACCUUGUCAAUGGAGCAGAUGGGCCUGUGACCACGUCCGGGGGCUCCAGCUGUCCCUGCCACCCCCCUGAGCAGCCCCCAGGGGAGGCCACCUCUGUCCCCCAGGCCUGGGCCCCAGAAGCCCACCUGAGCCCGCUGCCCCCCAGCCUCGGCCCGGGUAGGGGCCUGGCACGUCUGGGAGUGGAUGUGCGUCUUCACUCGCUCUUUGUUAUUGUUGUUUUUAUUUUUAUUAAAAAUGUUUUUUUUCUUGAGACAGAGUUGGUAGACAGUAUUAUGUAAGUUUCACGUGUACAACAUCAUGGCUCACGGUGCACAGUUUUUAUAGAAUACGGGCGGCACUCCCUGCGCUGUGCACGGUGCCUCUGUGGUUCCUUUAUUUUACACGCAGCCCCUGUCCUGCCCUCCCCACUCCCCUCUCCCCGAGAGUAGCCGGUGGCUUGUGCUCUGUGCGGGCGAGUCUGUUUCCUUUUGUUAUACUCGCUAGCUGUCCUUUUUAGAUUCCAGGUAUAACUGAUAUCACACACUAUUUGUCUCUGACUCAUUUCACUUAGGGUGAUGCCCUCCAAGUCCGUCCAUGUGGCUCCAAAUGACAAACUUUCAUUCCUUUUCAUGGUUGAGCAGUAUUCCUGUGUGUGUGUGUGUGUGUGUGCGCAUGUGCACACAUAUGUACCAUAUCUUCUUUAUCCGUUCAUCUGUUCAUGGACGCUUAGGUUGCUCCGUAUCUUGGCAACUGUAAAUAGUGUUGCUAUGAACAUUGGGGUGCAUGUAUCUUUUUUCAAUUACUGUUUUCAUUUUUGUUAGAUGUACACCCAGAAGUGGAGUUGCUAGGUCAUAUGGUAGUUCUGUUUUUUAGUUUUUUGAGAAACUACCGUAUUAUUUUGCAGUGUCUGCACCAAUUUACAUUCUCGCCAAGAGUAUACAAGGACUCCGUUUUCCUGCAUCCUCACCAACAUUUGCUAUUUGCAGUCUUUUGGAUGAUAGCCAUUCUGACAGAUAUGAGGUGAUGGCUCAUUAUGGUUUGAAUUUGCAUUUCUCUGGUGAUUAAUGAUGUUGAGCAUCUUUUCGUGUGCCUGAUGGCCAUCUGUAUAUUUUCUUUGGAAAAAUGUCUAUUCAGGUCUUCUGCCUGUUUUUUGUUUUUUGUUUUUUAAUUAGAUCAGUUUUUUUGUCUGUUUCCAGUAUAAGCUGUUUAUAUACUUUGGAUAUUAACCCCUUAUCCGUCAUAUUUGCAAAUAUUUUCUCCCAUUCAGUAGAUUGUAUUUUCAUGUUGCUGAUGGUUUUCUUUGCCAUACAAAAGUUUUUACAUUUAAUUAGGUCCCAUUUGAUUCCUUGUUUGUUUUUUGCUUUGGAGACAGAUCCAAAAAAAAGUGUUGCUACCAUUUAUAUCAAACAGUGUUCUGCCUAUGUUUUCUUCUAGGAGUUUUAUGUGUUUUGGUCUUAUAUUUAAGCCUUUUAAUCCAUUUUGAGUUUAUUUUUGUAUAUGGUAUGAAAAAAUGUGCUCAUUUCCUUCUUUUACAGGUAGCUGUCCAGUUUUCCCAGCACCGCUUAUUGAAGAGACUGUGUUUCCUCUGUUGUGUGUUCUUGCCCUCUUUGCUGUGGGAUGAUUGGCCGUAAGUGUGUGGGUUUAUUUCCGGGCUGUGUGUUCUGUCGUGUUGAUCUGUGCAUCUGUUUCUCUGCCAGUCCCAGACAGCGUUGAUUACUGUAGCUUUGCAUAUAGUCAGAAGUCAAGAAGCGUGAUUCCUCCUGCUCUGUUCUUCUUUCUCAGAUUGUUUUGGCCACUUGGGGUCUUCUGCGUUUCUAUACAAAUAUUAAAAUUAUUUGUCCUAAUUCUGUGAAACGUGCCCUUGGUGUUUUGAUAGGGAUUGCGUUGGAUCUGCAGAUUGCCUUGAGCAGUGUGGUCACUGUAACAGUCUCUGAAUAUUUUAAAUCCUUUACUUUUAUUGGAGUAGAGUCGACUUACAAUGUUGUGUUAAUGUCAAGUGCACAGCGAAUUGAUUCUGUUACACAUAUACGUCUAUCUGGGCUUCCUCGGUGGCCGAGCAGUAAAAAGAACCUGCCUGCAAUUCAGGAGACUUGCAGGAGAGGCAGGCUUGAUCCCUGGGUGGGAAAGAUCCCCUGGAGAAGAGAAUGGCAACCCACUCCAGUAGUCUUGGCCUGGAGAACCCCACAGCGCCUGGUGGGCUACAGUCUGUGGAGUCGCAGAGUCGGACUCAACUGAGCAACUGAGCAACACCUCCAAAUACAUGUCUUCACUGUUUUUACGGCUCUUUUCACGUCUCGGCUAUCACAGAAUGCUGAGGCACGUUCCUGGCUGGUUUCUCUCUCGUGUGUGGGGUGUGUGCAUGUAAAUGCCAAGCACCGGGUUUAUCCCUUGCCACGCGCUUCCCCUUGGGGAACCGUAAGUUUGUCUUCUGUGUCUUUCGGUCUGUCUCUGUUUUAUAAACAAGUUCAUUGGUAUCUCAUUUUUAAAAAUUACAUUCCACAUAUGAGUGAUAUCGUGUGAUGCUUUAACAACAUUUAUUCCUGCAGCCCAACGUGCGCUGUCUUUUCGUCUGCGUCUCCAGUUUCUUCGUCAGACUCUCACAGUCUUCUGAGCACCGGCCUUUGGCCUCCGUCGGUAGGCCGAUCACCAGGUGCUUUAACCUUUUUGAUGCAGUGGUAAAUGGGAUUGUUUCCUUAAAUUCUUCCUACAGUUUGUUGUUAGUGUAUAGAAAUACAACAGAUUCCUGUAUAUUAAUUUUGUAUCCUGCAGCUUUACUGAAUUCAUUGAUUAGCUCUAGUAGCUUUCUGGUGGUAUCUUUAGGAUUUUUCUAUGUAUAGUAUCAUGUUAUCUGCAAACAGUGAACAUUUUACUCCUUUUCCAGCUUGAAAUUCUUUCAUUUUUCUUCUCUGAAUGCCAUGGCUAGGACCUCUAGAACUAUGCUGAAUAAAAAUGGUGAGAGUGGAUGGGCA
ensembl:lncRNA